GAUGAAGAACGUAGCGAAAUGCGAUAAGUAGUGUGAAUUGCAGAAUUCAGUGAAUCAUCGAAUCUUUGAACGCACAUUGCGCCCUUUGGUAUUCCUUAGGGCAUGCCUGUUCGAGCGUCAUUUAAACCUUCAAGCUAAGCUCGGUGUUGGGUGACUGUCCGCUUCACGGCGGACUCGCCUCAAAAUUAUUGGCGGCCGGUACAUUGGCUUCGAGCGCAGCAGAAACGCGAACUCGGGCCCGUCGUAUUGGCUCCCAGAAGCUAUCUUCACAAUUUUGACCUCGGAUCAGGUAGGGAUACCCGCUGAACUUAAGCAUAUCAAUAAGCGGAGGA
rnacentral:misc_RNA from 1 species